UCCUCCCUCUGUCGGCGUGCCUAAUACAUGCAAGUAGAACGCUGAAGAGAGGAGCUUGCUCUUCUUGGAUGAGUUGCGAACGGGUGAGUAACGCGUAGGUAACCUGCCUUGUAGCGGGGGAUAACUAUUGGAAACGAUAGCUAAUACCGCAUAACAAUGGAUGACACAUGUCAUUUAUUUGAAAGGGGCAAUUGCUCCACUACAAGAUGGACCUGCGUUGUAUUAGCUAGUAGGUGAGGUAAUGGCUCACCUAGGCGACGAUACAUAGCCGACCUGAGAGGGUGAUCGGCCACACUGGGACUGAGACACGGCCCAGACUCCUACGGGAGGCAGCAGUAGGGAAUCUUCGGCAAUGGGGGCAACCCUGACCGAGCAACGCCGCGUGAGUGAAGAAGGUUUUCGGAUCGUAAAGCUCUGUUGUAAGUCAAGAACGGGUGUGAGAGUGGAAAGUUCACACUGUGACGGUAGCUUACCAGAAAGGGACGGCUAACUACGUG
rnacentral:rRNA from 1 species